ACUUGGGGAGUAAAUGGGAUUUGAUACCCUAUUAGUCCUAACUGUAAACGAUGGAUACUAGCACUAUGUGUAAUGAUUCGUGUAGUGCUGUAGCUAAAGCGUUAAGUAUUC
rnacentral:ncRNA from 1 species